rnacentral:misc_RNA from 1 species
GAAAAGUGUCGGCUACAAAUCCACCAAGUAAAGUUAACAUAAAUGAAGUCCCAAGAAAAUUUGUAACGUUGUUGGCUGAACUUGCAUUUCCUAAAUGCAUUGUUCCAGUCAAAUAUGUCACAAGGUUUACAGCUAUACCUAGUGUUGUUAGCCUCUCCACCGCCUCAAUCCCUAAUAUCAUCGCGGCGCUAGACCAACCGCCGGACGAGGAACGAAGAGCUGGUCGACCUUUGUAAUCCCAAGCAUCUGGG